rnacentral:rRNA from 1 species
UACGGAGGGUGCAAGCGUUAAUCGGAAUUACUGGGCGUAAAGCGUGCGCAGGCGGUUCUAUAAGACAGAUGUGAAAUCCCCGGGCUCAACCUGGGAACUGCAUUUGUGACUGUAGAGCUGGAGUACGGUAGAGGGGGAUGGAAUUCCGCGUGUAGCAGUGAAAUGCGUAGAUAUUGGGAAGAACACCGGUGGCGAAGGCGGCUCACUGGCUCGUUUCUGACGCUCAGGCGCGACAGCGUGGGGAUCAAACAGG